UUCAGAGACAGGUUGAAGGACUGGUCGGUUCUGUCCUCCUGUUGUUCUCUCUCUCUCUCUACUGUCCUCCUGUUGUUCUCUCUCUCUCUCUACUGUCCUCCUGUUGUUCUCUCUUUACUGUCCUCCUGUUGUUCUCUCUCUCUCUCUCUCUCUCCUCUCUCUCUCUACUGUCCUCCUGUUGUUCUCCCUCUCUACUGUCCUCCUGUUGUUCUCCCUCUCUACUGUCCUCCUGUUGCUCUCUCUCCCUCUACUGUCCUCCUGUUGUUCUCUCUCUCUCUCUACUGUCCUCCUGUUGUUCUCUCUCUCUCUCUACUGUCUCCUGUUGUUCUCUCUCUCUCUCUCUCUACUGUCCUCCUGUUGUUCUCUCUCUCACUGUCCUCCUGUUGUUCUCCCUCUCUACUGUCCUCCUGUUGUUCUCCCUCUCUACUGUCCUCCUCCUGUUGUUUCUCUCUCUCUCUCUCUCUACUGUCCUCCUGUUGUUCUCUCUCUCUCCUCUACUGUCCUCCUGUUGUUCUCUCUCUCUACUGUCCUCCUGUUGUUCUCUUUCUCUACUGUCCUCCUGUUGUUCUCUAUCCCUACUGUUCCUCCUGUUGUUCUCCCUGUCUCUCUACUGUCCUCCUGUUGCUCUCUCUCUCUACUGUCCUCCUGUUGCUCUUGCUCUCUCUACUGUCCUCCUGUUGCUCUCUCUCUCUACUGUCCUCCUGUUGCUCUCUCUCUCUACUGUCCCUCUGUGCUCUCCUCUCUCUACUGUCCUCCUGUUGCUCUCUCUCUCUACUGUCUCCUGUUGUUCUCCCUCUCUACUGUCCUCCUGUUGUUCUCCCUCUCUUCUCUACUGUCCUCCUGUUGUUCUCUCUCUCUCUCUACUGUCCUCCUGUUGCUCUCUCUCUCUACUGUCCUCUGUUGCUCUUUCUCUCUCUCUACUGUCCUCCCUGUUGUUCUCUCUCUACUGUCCCUCCUGUUGUUCUCUCUCCUACUGUCCUCCUGUGUUCUCCCUGUCUCUCUACUGUCCUCCUGUUGUUCUCUUUCUCUACUGUCCUCCUGUUGUUCUCCCUGUCUCUCUACUGUCCUCCUGUUGUUCUCUCUCUCUCUCUCUCUCUCUCUCUACUGUCCUCCUGUUGUUCUCUCUCUCUCUACUGUCCUCCUGUUGUUCUCUCUCUCUCUCUCUCUCUCUCUCUACUGUCCUCCUGUUGUUCUCUCUCUCUCUACUGUCCUCCUGUUGUUCUCUCUCUCUACUGUCCUCCUGUUGUUCUCUCUCUCUACUGUCCUCCUGUUGUUCUCUCUCUCUACUGUCCUCCUGUUGUUCUCUCUCUCUCUACUGUCCUCCUGUUGUUCUCUCUCCUCUCUACUGUCCUCCUGUUGUUCUCUCCCUCUACUGUCCUCCUGUUGUUCUCUAUCUCUCUACUGUCCUCCUGUUGUUCUCUCUCUCUCUACUGUCCUCCUGUUGUUCUCUCUCUCUACUGUCCUCCUGUUGUUCUCUCUCUCUCUACUGUCCUCCUGUUGUUCUCUCUCCCUCUACUGUCCUCCUGUUGUUCUCUCUCCCUCUACUGUCCUCCUGUUGUUCUCUCUCUCUCUACUGUCCUCCUGUUGUUCUCUCUCCCUCUACUGUCCUCAUGUUGUUCUCUCUCUCUCUACUGUCCUCCUGUUGUUCUCUCUCUCUCUCUACUGUCCUCCUGUUGUUCUCUCUCUCUCUCUACUGUCCUCCUGUUGUUCUCUCUCCCUCUACUGUCCUCCUGUUGUUCUCUCUCUCUCUCUACUGUCCUCCUGUUGUUCUCUCUCUCUCUACUGUCCUCCUGUUGUUCUUCUCUCACCUCUACUGUACUCCUGUUGUUCUCUCUCUCAUCUACUGUACUCCUGUUGUUCUCUCUCUCUCUACUGGUCCAUCCUGUUGUUCUCUCUCUCUCUCUACCUUGUCCUCCUCUGUUGUUCUACUCUCUCUCUCUACUGUCCUCCUGUUCUCUCUCUCUCGAUCUCUCUACUAGUCCUCCUGUUGUUCUCUCUCUCUUCUCUCCUACUGUCCUCCUGUUGUUCUCUCUCUCUCUCUCUCUACUUCCUCCUGUUGUUCUCUCUCUCUCUCUCUACUGUCCUCCUCGUUGUUCUCUCUCUCUCCUAGCUACUGUCUUCCCUGUGUUCUCCCUCUACUGUCCUACUGUUGUUCCUCUCUCUCACUCUCUCUUCUACCUU
rnacentral:lncRNA from 1 species